AUCUAUGGUAAGAAUCUACACGUGCCCCUGCAAGGGGGAGAAGGGAGGAAGAUGUGAACAGUGGACACAGACUCGAAACAUGAACUCUGAGACUGAGGACAUGUUCCCCCUAGUCGCUGCUUCCGACCUUUCCUCCAGCUUCCAGGUCUGCUGCGAGGCCGAGAGACGCUCCGCAGACUUCACACCCCGCCGCUGUCAUGCUGAUGUCCACUCCAACAUCCAGGGCUGGGCCACCAAGGACUGAGCCCUUUCAAACCAAGAGCCAAAACAAAAGCCUCUCCCUGGAGUUGUCCCGGUCAGGUGUUUUGGUGACAGGGAUAUCAAAGUCACAAACACGAGGCCCGGCCAGCUGUCCUCUCUCAUCCUGUUUUGAAUCGGUCUUCCUGUGUGCACCCUAUUUCCGCUGGAUCUUUUCAGGGACGAGCAAUGGGGUCGCCUGUGAACAUCGACUGGCUCUCAGACUGCUUCAGGGAUCAAGAACUAAGAGCAGGAAGCAGGAGUUUCUUAUUCCCAUGGUUUUGUUUAGGAGACAAGGCCUCCUGCUUUAGCCCAGGCUGACCUGGAACUCACAGGCUACUCUGGAACUUGCUACAGUCUGCCUCUGCUCCCAUGUUUUGGGAUUGUAGGUCUACGCCACUGUGCCUGGCUCACACAGGCUCGGAGGUGGCAUGAAGAAGAAGGGACAAAGACUUGGGUACCUGCGACCUGCUGCGCCCCUGCCUGGGUCUCUUGCUAGGGUUGGGAGCAUUGCUGUGGCAGGCAUCUAUGUCCAACCCCAGUCUUGGCCAUGUAAAGAACAGUCCUGCAUCCCAGACUUGUCAUUAGAGAUGGUAGCUUUCUGCCCUCUGCAGGACCACAUCCACCUGAACUGCUUCCAAGUCCAGUGGCCAGGGGAAAGUAAGGUGGUAACUAAUGGUGGGGAGACAGCAUGGGCGUGCACACUCUUUAUUUGGGGAGUUUCCAAUUAGACAUCCUCAGAGAGAUUUUGGUAACAUCAUUUUUUCUUUUGGGAAUCUGGAUUUUAUCUCAACCUAUAAUCUCAUAAAUUCAGAUUCCAUAUAAUCUUUAUCCAGGGAACCAAAGCUCCUUCAUUGUCAGGCUGGAAGACAAGAAGACAUAGAAGCUCAUCUUGAUUCAGCCAACUUUUGGACAACAAACAAAAAUGCAUCAUCUCCCCUGUGUGACAUGCGACAUGUUGGCUGGGAACCAGAGGGCACAGUUUCCUUCACAGAUAGUAGACACCGACAGGAACACACAGCUGCCCUUGGGACUCAUGCCACAAAACAAGCUACCCUGAACGAUAUAACACACAGGACUUCGCAACCUUCUCUACUGGAGAUGGACUUUCCCCUGGCUUCUAGCAGCAAGGAUCCUAUUUCUGGUACCCUCCCUUUGGUUUUUCUAUUCUGUUUUCUGGCCUUUGUUCACAGGUUUCAGAGCCUUGGGCAAGACCUGCUGAGGCUGGCAGGAGUCAGCAUCCACCCAGAGGAGGUACUACCCUCCUAUUGGUGGCAUAGAGCUUGUGAUUUGGGAACAUGCUGAUGGGAGGUGCAUCCCUUGGACAUUCCCAAAGUAGGCCAGAUAUACAGGGUCUAGAAUCUAGCAGCCCUUAAAGAACAUUCUCUGUCAGGUUCAAGGAUGGAGCAAACAUCCAGGUGAAACCUACAUUCUCUGAAAUAUUCUUUCCCAAUUAGCCUAUACUUUCUGGAAAAUUCUAGUACCUGCCUACUUUCUAGAUAUCCCCUCCCUCUCCCCGCCCCUCCCCCCACUCUGUGUUUGUACUCGUAGCUCAGUCCAACUUGUUCUGUAGAAGAGGAUGUCCUUGAACUCCUAUUCCAAGUUCCUGCACCUCCCAACCGCUAGAAUUAUAGGCAUGCCCUAUUAGCCUUGCUUGGAUAACUUCUGAAAACAUAUGAAGGACUGGUUUGGAAGCCAAGACAUCCACCUGAAGAAAAAAGGUUGACCCUAUAUCCAGAACGUGGGAUGUCUUCUCUUGACAAGCUCCCCAAGGGAGGAGCUGGAUACGUAAUGUUGAGAUACAGGGGGCUGCUUUGUGAAAUUGAUUUUUCUUUCCCCUUCGAGUGGAAAGGAGUCUUGUUGUGGUAGCUCAUGCUAGCCCAGAACUCCAGGCUUGCCUAGAGCUUAACUAUUUAGCUCAGACUGGCCUUGAACUUGCUCCACAAUCCAGGCAAAUGUUGAACUUCAAUCCUCCCACCUCAGUUUGUCAACUGCCAGGCCCUGCAAGCAUGUUCUCCCAUGUCUGCCUGAAUCCACCACUCUUUGUAGUAUUUUAAGACAGAACCAAUAUUAAAUAUAAACCAUUGGCAUUAACAUGACGGUAAUGCAUUUGCAGGAAGCAUAGGAUCCAAGGAGAAGGCCUAGUGAGCUGGUCCACCUGUCCCCUUCCUUCAAACCAACUGUGCGUGGCAAAGGCCACAUAGCUGAGAACAGUCCCCUGAGUGUUAGUCAAAGCGCGGAUGGAAUGAAGCUAAGCAAUUGUGACAUUUACAUGAUCGUGGGGAUGGGGUGGCCUAGCGUCUCCUCUAUUCUGUCCUGACUAUAAAUAAUUCAAGUGAAAAACUCUAAUGGCUGCAUAGCUAGUCUACUGCACAUGGAUUUUUCUCCUCGUGGAGGAGGGGGAGCUGGGGAAUCAAGGCGGAGGGAAGAAAAAUGGCUGUGAAUUCUGGACUCUCAGCCCUGCAGGGCAUCCUGGAAGAGGCCAAUGAAAAUUGCUGAUCUGAAGUUGUUUGUGACAGAUGCUUCCCAGGGAAUGGAGUUCUGUGGUCUUCCAGAUCAUUAUAAACAGUAUGUGCCAAAGUCUAGAAGAUUCAUCGGAGCUCACCGGUUAUCGUUAUCAUAGCGUUAUAUAAAAAUAAGGACCCUUUUCAUGAGAAAGUUCCAGACUCUCUAUCUUAGGUAUCUUAGGUAACAGGGUAGAUCAAGUCGCUGUGGACCAUUAGUGACAUAGUGUAGGGACAGGAUCUAAUAUGGUUUGAGGUACAAAACUUAGCACUGUCAUCAAGGGCACACGAGGAAACAGUCCACAUAUGACAUGCAGCCAGACAGCCAAGCCAACCCAACCCAGGAAGCACACCCAACAAUCACCUUGUUCAUCUUCUCAUGAUGACCUCAUAGGGUCCCAGGGACACUAUCUUAGAUUCAAAACAAUGUACACAAUACUCUUUGAUGUAUGACCUGAGUCUGGAUUUGAGCCCAUAGCAGGAGAUUGCAAUAAAAGCCAGUUGUCUCUCUCCCUGGUCUUAGAUUUUCCAAUCCCUUUGAAAGUCCACUGACCUGGGACAAUGAGGGCUGGGAUUGGGACUAGUUGCUGGGGCUAGAAAGGAUGCUCUCCUCAACAUUCUCUGCCUUCUUCCUUCCUUCCUUCCUUCCUUCCUUCCUUCCUUCCUUCCUUCCUUCCUUUCUUUUUGAUUCCAUCCUUUCAGAUACUAGAUCACCUGUCAUGUAAACUUUGAGACAGGAGCAGGUAUGGCCGACACCUAGUCGAUGUCCUGGUCCCUGCAUGUAGGUCACCCAGAACGUCUUGCAAUCGCUGAGCUUGUCCAAGAACUCCUGAGAACAGCAGUUCACCUCAGUUCUUAUUUCUAGCUUACAGGAUGGGAGAGCGUGAACAAGCAAGCAAAUGCUAUUAUUAAAGAUUACAAGCUUAACAUGUUUUGGCCUGCCAGAUGAUGUAGGGUGGUUUUACCCGUCCCAUAUGGAGACAGUCUUGUUCUUCAAGGUGAGAUAAAGGGUAGAGGUGAGAAGGCUACCCAUGCAGGGCUUACUCCUUUUCUCCUGAGUUGGGGCAAGGACUCUUUCAAAUACAACAGGGAAAGGUAGGGAAGUCAUGCAUAUUCUUCGGAGGUUGAUUCCCCAUCUCUGCGGGAGAUGGAUUCUGGGAGUCAGAGUGCAGGCAGGUAGGAUAUACAGUCUUUUAAGAAAAUGUUCCCUAUGUUUAUACCUUAGAUGCAAUGUCUCCAUGGCAAUCUCUUAUAGUUGUCAUGUGGAACUUGCAAGCAUUCUGGAAGCCAUCGUUAACAGUUCCAGGGUGGAGUCCUGACUGGGGAUUAGAUCUACCUCCAGGGACAGUGAGGGGGAUAGCUUGUUUGAAGAUGACAGGGUUCAGAGGCAGCCUGUCUUUCUGUCCCAGGUCAAAUGCUGUCCUAUUGUCUGACAUUCAUAGAUGCCUGGGGGUGUGGAGCUGAGCUGGUAGCAAGUAUGAGCCAGUCACCGAGUCACCUCAUGGCCGGGCAGCCUCUGUCACCGAUUCCUAAGGCAGCAAAGGCUGAGGCUCCUGCCUCUCCUACAGAGGGUGCCUUAGAGAGUAUGGGAGACAGAACUUUCUGGAACCAUCAGCCAACCAGCUCCUCCCUCCCAGUUACUGUCCUGAGAAUGUUAGGGGGUCAUGAACCUCGGGGUAACAUUUGUGUGAACAGACCUGGGAGUGGGGCUGCCUGGAAAAGAAUCCCGACACCCUAAAUACGUCAAAGACAGAUAAUACAAGCAAAGCAGUUAGCAGGCAGGCCAACGAAAUGCCACUAGACCUGGUUUCUUGCCCUGCUGUAUUCAGUCGCUGGUUGCCGCAGACGAGGAGGAUGCUGAGAGACUAACUUCUGAGCCAUCGGAGAGAAUCUGAUGGCUGUUUUCCUAUCAUUUCUUCCAUGCAAUUGGGAAAGAUGCUGGAGGGUUCGGUUUUGCUUUUUGUUUUUAAAGGGAAUGGGUGCUCGUGCCCUUUAUAUUAUUACAUCUCCAUUCAUUGCUAAAGGAAUCUAAACUCUUCAUCUUUGGGGAUCAGCCUCCUUCGGUAUGGGGCAGAUGUUGCAGAAAGCAACAUUUGAAGACAUCUGUAUGUCCCCCCUCAGUAGCUAAUCUCAGCUGCAGCAUGGCUUCCGCCCCCUUUCGGGAUCUUAGAAUCCUGUACUUCCAGAUGCAUUCGCCUGGUUUCUCCAGCAUGCUCCCGAGAGGAUGCAGUUUGGAGUUUCAACCAUCAGCAAGCGAUAGGGAAGCAUUGCCACUGCCAGCUAUGCCUGCCUUCUCGCUCACACCCGGCAGAGAGAAGGCGAUGGCUCAAGGAAGAAACUUAGGGGGUGGGAAGUUGUGCGGUGUAUUAAUAUUCUGUGUCUCUUCCUGUUCUAGUGCAGGAGUCUGGUCCUAUGGGGACCAUGGUGACUCAGCCUAGGGAAGAAACGGAAAGGGCAGGUUUGCAGAGGGCACCGUGAGAAAGGCAGGCAGGCUGCUGCCUGGAUGUGCCAGACUCCAGGCAGUUUUAUGAAGUGACUCUGUGCCCCUUCGGGCUCUUGGGACCUCUGACUUGCUCUCUCUUGCCUAUGCUAUGGCUCAAACCUAGUAUGACUUGUGCUCUUAGUGAAUAUUCACACCCUACAGUGGGAAAAUAUCGACAGCCGCCCUCCACACUACUGCGUGGAGGGCUGUAGAGGUGAGCUAGAGGAAGACCCUAGAAGGAGAACUUGCAUGAUCCAAGUCUAAGGCGGCAGUAAAGAGGGAGAAGGGAGGGAAGCUAGGCUAGAGGAAUAGGCAUCGCACCAGAAAAACCCUACCUGGCUGUAGGAGGGGGUGAGAGAGAGAGAGAGAGAGAGAGAGAGAGAGAGAGAGAGAGAGAGAGAGAGAGAGAGAGAGNGAGAGAGAGAGAGAGAGAGAGAGAGAGAGAGAGAGCCUCAAUGUGGCUGGAGGAAAGAGUAAGGAAGGAGGAAGGAGAAUCAGGAAGCUUCCGCCUGAGAUCCAAAGAAGCGGGGGCAGGACAAUUUCACUACAGAGAUAAAGACUUGGGCUCAGGGAAACACAAAGGGAACUAGCACAUCUAUAGAUGACAGGCAAUCUGACCACUCACACUUGAAUUUAUAGUGAAUCUAGGAAAACUGAAAGAAAUGAGUCGCAGCCUGCUGCUGAAAACAGACCCCAAUGGAAGUGUCCUCUGUGAUCAGGAGUCAAGUCUCCCACACAUCAGCCACGCCUACUAAACACCACGCGCGCGUGCUCUCUCUCUCUUUUUUUAACGAGUCACUGGCACAAUCUGAAUAUCUUGAGAUAUUAAGCAAAAUCCAGCCCAUACAGCCAAGUGAUCUUUCCAGCUCUUCUGCUUCAGGCUCUAGGUCUCUUUCUUUUAGCUGGGGAAAGACUAAGAAAGUCCGAGAUGAGGGAAGGGUUUAGGUGUACACCAGUCUUAACUUACAGAUGUUGUCUAGCAUGGAGACUCAGAGGGGCUCUGUUACUUUGGAUGCCCGGGGUGUGGGCCUCCUUGCCACCAGGCUCAAUUCUUCCCCUCCCCCAGUAGCUUCACCCUUUGCUCCCAAGAAGCAGGGAUGGGUGUGAUUUAGAGGCCAAAUUCCCGUCCAAAGUAAGCGGUUAGGGAAGAACAGCAUCAAACACGGAGGAGUCUCUUAUCUGUCUAUGCUUCGGGUUACAGACACACCCGGGCUAUGAAUUAUUUUUUCUUUUCUCUAAUGGUGGCACAGGCAAGAAAAGCUGGGAGCCAGGCUCUCUGCAGAUUCCAAGAUGCUGGUGCGGGAUGGACUUCAGAAACAGAAAGCCAAGUGCCAAGGAAACCAACCGAGAGCGCCCCAGCUCUUCCGACAGGAGUCCUGUAGAAAAGGCAAUAAGACCAGCAGUGCUGCAAGGAGCUUGAGCCCUGCCUAAUGGCUUUCCCCCUCGUGCCUUGGGGGGAGGGGUCUCCAUGGGGGUGGAGGAAGGAAGCCAGGGUGAGAUGGAAAGUCCCCUUUCCUGUCGCAACCCAGAGGUCAACCUCAGCAGGGAGUUUCUUUGGGUCCCUGGGUUGAAAGAAUCGGGGCAUGGAUGGAGGUGAGUGUUGUUCGUACUUGUCUUUUCUUUCUCGCUCUGUGAUGCCACCGCGAUACUUGGAUGGCUACUGGAAUUCCAAGGCGAGAAGAAAGCAGUAUUUUUUCCCCCCUUCGGAGUUGCUACUGGCGGUUGAAGCAAUAAUUGAGAACUCCCGGGUAUUUAUUGCAUUGGGAAACAAAACCAUGAAAGCAUUUGAAGACAGCCCUUUAGUGUCCCUGCCAAGGAGAUGGAGUUGAUCCGUGAUCCCGGUUACCCUGCAAACUUGAGUUCUUUACUGAACUGUACCAACGACUGCAUCCAUCCAUAGGUCCAGAUCUCCGGUGUGGAGGAACAGAGUCUGCCCGCGGGGCAUGCACAUGCGCAGUGAGCUGGCAACGCGGUUGUGGCUGGUGGGAGGCUG